AUGCGAUGGAGGGUGGUACUCACAAGGUGACGGGAACUUUUCCGCUCUCCUCUUUGGUACCAGUGAGAGAGAUGCUGAGUAAAGGCUUGGAGCUCUCCAUGGACUGGACAAACUGGAUCCUGAACUGGUAGUGAUAAACUACACAGCAGGGAUGAAGCUGCUGGUGAAGUGACCUUACCGACCACCCGUGAGUGAUGAUGAUGAGGGGAUUAGUGGUGUUGAAGCCACAGGAAGAGAGACUGUGCAGCUGCAGAGGGUCCAGUGUGCAGGUGUCCUCCCCCUCCACAAACAGCCUGAAGACUGAACUGCUGACAUGAGGCUCUUUCACCUUUAGGGGGCCCCUCUUGUCGGGGACUGCCACAUCUCAGGGAUCAGACAGCAGAGAAAGACUUUAUCUGGGCAGCCACAACGAGUCAAUCUCAUCAAUGGUUUUGGCUCUGUUUUUUACACCGGAUGCCCUCUUCUGGUGCAAACCUGGCCAGGAAUCGAACCCAUGCCCUUGGACUGAGAUGCAGACGCAUAUUCCAUUACACCACCAGAUAUUAAUAUUAGUGUAAAUUAUCUUAAAAUAAACAUGUUCAUUGUUAUUUCUGUAUUAUUAUUUAUUUCACUAACUGCUUCUUUGCUAUCACUUUUACCAUCAUAUUUGUACAUAUCCUAUUUGCUGAUGUUGUUCUAUUGUUGUUAUUGUUGUGUUUGCUGUUGUUGUUGUUGUUGUCGUCUCUCAGUCUUAUCUCCCUCUUGUCCCCACAAUUUCCCCCUCUGUCUUCCUUUUUUUCUCUUUCUAUCCUCUCCUGCUCCGGCCCAGCUGCACCAAAUAAUAAUAUAAAUCCAUUUAAUAAAGUCAAAUACAAAUAAGGCAACAAGGGAAGUAUCCCACACUUCUCUUUUGUAAAGUAAAUUUGUUCAGCCAAUAUGGGCAUC